GCCUUGGUGCAAGGCAAGACUUCCUUUACUCUACAACUAUAUUCAAAGUCAUUAUUGGUAUGUUUGUAUCUUUUCUACCUUUUGAAACUCUCACUUGCCCCUUCAGCAUUAAAUUUGACUUGGUAGAUAUUAGAUUGUAACUUUUAUCUUAUGAUAUCUUUUCUACCUUUUGAAACUCUCUCUUGCCCCUUCAGAAUUAAAUUUGACUUGGUAGAUAUUAAAUUGUAUAUGUGCUGAAACGCUGGGUGUGUGAUUGUUUUCUUUUUAAGACUAAUACCAGAAGAAUGUUCAAUUAUACUUCUAGACAGUCCUAAUACCCUAGAAUAAUAAUUUUGUCAGAUCCUCUCCUCAAGGUCUAGACUGUCUUUGCCCCUAUAUAUCUUCUACUAAUAACUUGAAAGAUCCUUAAGACUAUGUUUAAAAACUACCUUGAUCUUUCCAUCACAGUCAAAACUCCUGCUUUUACCAAUUUAUAUCAAAUUCUUUUGUAAUCUUUCCCUUUUUUGUUAAUUUUUUGAGCAGAAAUUCUUAAGGUAUUAUUUCAAUUUGAACCUUUUGCAAUAUUUUGAAGUGGGAUGCCACUUGGGUUGGGCAUCUGGUGGGCCUUACGACCAGAUCAAUGAACAUCUCUCUAGAAAGGGAUAUUUCUC
rnacentral:lncRNA from 1 species